UUUUAGGGGGGCGCGGGCCGGCCGGCGCCUCCGCGGCUCCACCUGCGAGGAGAGGGCGGGAUGCCAGAGCUGCGUGUCCCGGCGCCCUGAGGCUGCUCGCGGCUAGACGUCCCUGAGCCGGUGCUCGCCUUGACCCUGGACUACCUGGAGGCUUUGGCUGGGACGUGUUUCCUGGGGGCGCCCCUGGAGCAGCCGCGAUGGCCAGCACCAGGAGUAUCGAGCUGGAGCACUUUGAGGAACGGGACAAAAGGCCGCGGCCGGGGUCGCGGAGAGGGGCGCCCAGCUCCUCCGGGGGCAGCAGCAGCUCCGGCCCCAAGGGGAACGGGCUCAUCCCCAGCCCGGCGCACAGUGCCCACUGCAGCUUCUACCGUACGCGGACCCUGCAGGCCCUGAGCUCGGAGAAGAAAGCCAAGAAGGCGCGCUUCUACCGGAAUGGGGACCGCUACUUCAAGGGCCUGGUGUUUGCCAUCUCCGGCGACCGCUUCCGGUCCUUCGAUGCGCUGCUUAUGGAGCUCACCCGUUCCCUGUCGGACAACGUGAACCUGCCCCAGGGUGUCCGCACCAUCUACACCAUCGACGGCAGCCGGAAGGUCACCAGCCUGGACGAGCUGCUGGAAGGUGAGAGUUACGUGUGUGCGUCGAAUGAACCUUUUCGUAAAGUUGAUUACACCAAAAACAUUAAUCCAAACUGGUCUGUGAACAUCAAGGGAGGGACCACCCGAGCCUUGGCUGCUCCCUCCUCAGUGAAGAGUGAAGUGAAGGAAAGUAAAGAUUUCAUCAAACCCAAAUUAGUGACUGUGAUUCGAAGUGGAGUGAAGCCUAGAAAAGCUGUGCGGAUCCUUCUGAAUAAGAAGACUGCUCAUUCCUUCGAACAGGUCUUAACAGAUAUCACCGAAGCCAUUAAACUGGACUCAGGAGUGGUGAAGAGGCUCUGCACGCUGGACGGGAAGCAGGUUACUUGUCUGCAAGACUUUUUUGGUGAUGAUGAUGUUUUUAUUGCAUGUGGACCUGAAAAAUUCCGUUACGCCCAAGAUGACUUUGUCCUGGAUCACAGUGAAUGCCGCGUUUUGAAGUCAUCUUAUUCUCGCUCCUCAGCUGUUAAGUAUUCUGGAUCCAAGAGCCCUGGGCCUUCUCGACGCAGCAAAUCACCAGCUUCAGUAAAGAGGGGUGGCCACUACUCCAGGGCCUACUCUACAGCCAAAUCCCCAGUUAAUGGAACUCCCAGCAGCCAGCUUUCCACUCCUAAAUCUACAAAAUCCUCCAGUUCCUCUCCAACUAGCCCAGGAAGUUUCAGAGGAUUAAAGCAGAUGUCUGCACGUGGCCGAUCUUCUUCCAAUGUAAAUGGCGGGCCUGAACUUGAUCGUUGCCUGAGUCCUGAAGGUGUGAAUGGAAACAGGUGCUCUGAAUCCUCAACUCUUCUUGAGAAGUACAAAAUUGGGAAGGUUAUUGGUGAUGGCAAUUUUGCAGUAGUCAAAGAGUGCAUGGACAGGUCCACAGGAAAGGAGUUUGCCCUAAAGAUUAUAGACAAAGCCAAAUGUUGUGGAAAGGAGCAUCUGAUUGAGAAUGAAGUGUCGAUACUGCGCAGAGUGAAACAUCCAAAUAUCAUCAUGCUGGUUGAGGAGAUGGAAACAGCUACUGAGCUUUUCCUGGUGAUGGAAUUGGUCAAAGGUGGAGAUCUCUUUGAUGCAAUUACUUCUUCAACCAAGUACACUGAGAGAGAUGGCAGUGCCAUGGUGUACAACCUGGCCAACGCCCUCAGGUACCUCCACGCCCUCAGCAUUGUGCACAGAGACAUCAAGCCAGAGAACCUCUUGGUGUGUGAAUAUCCUGAUGGGACCAAGUCUUUGAAACUGGGAGACUUCGGGCUGGCCACUGUGGUAGAAGGCCCUUUAUACACAGUCUGUGGCACACCGACUUACGUGGCCCCAGAAAUCAUUGCUGAAACCGGCUAUGGCCUGAAGGUGGACAUUUGGGCGGCUGGCGUGAUCACGUACAUACUGCUCUGUGGAUUCCCACCCUUCCGAAGUGAGAACAAUCUCCAGGAAGAUCUCUUCGACCAGAUCUUGGCUGGGAAGCUAGAGUUUCCGGCCCCCUACUGGGACAACAUCACGGACUCAGCCAAGGAAUUAAUCAGUCAAAUGCUUCAGGUAAACGUUGAAGCGCGGUGCACUGCGGGACAGAUCCUGAGUCACCCCUGGGUAUCAGACGAUGCCUCCCAGGAGAAUAAUAUGCAGGCUGAAGUAACAGGUAAACUCAAACAGCACUUUAAUAACGCGCUCCCCAAACAGAACAGCACCACCACCGGGGUCUCCGUUAUCAUGGUAAGUAGAACACGUGGUUCUGCCCUUGGGCAGCUGCAGCGUCUGGCUGACUGCUCGGCCGACAUCGAAUCUUAUCAAGUCAGCCGCCAGGCGCUUCCCUCACGCGGCCCUGGGCGCUGUCGUGUUCCUCUCCACUUCAGGAAUGGCUUGGCACGUGAAGGGCACCCUUUGGCCGGCUCCCAGGCCUUGGGUCCUGGGAUCAGAGGUUGCGCAGGUCCCAGCAAGGCCAAGCUGAUGGGCCCCUGGCAGGGGCGCCCCGGCCUCUUCUCCUGGGCUUGGUGGCCUCCAGGCAGCUGCUUCUGUCUCAUCUCUGCUUUCCCGUUCUAGAGAGCAGUUCCCAAGCCCAGGUGGGACUUACAGCAAAAGGAAGUGAUUCCCUGAAUGCUCAAGGCCUCAGACAUAGAUUAUUUGAGCUAUGAAUGAUUCUUUGGGACUUGGGAUAAGAAACAGCCAGAGUUAAGCAAAUUCCAUUUUAAAAAGUCAGUGUUUUGUGGUUUUUAAAAGUUCAGAAGAAUAAAAAAAAAUAUUAGUUUUUUCAGGGUUGGUAAAAUUUUAUGAGAAGUCAGUAACAGUGACCCCCAUAUUUUUUCAAAUCUUCCUUCCUCCAAAAUGUUUUUAAAAAGGCAGCUUACCUAAAUCCACAAACACGGCAAAUGGAAAGUGGCAUUAAAGUAAGUGAAGUAGCGUGAAAGUUAAGUUCAGCAAAUGGGAGAAGAAGGCAGAAAAAAUAAAACUGAGCCAGAAGUGUGGCGUGCACCCUCCCACCAGCUGUCCAGACCCAAGUCCUCGCCCAAGUGGGGCCGUGAAACUGGCCCCCGGCGUGUCCGCACCUGCUCCGGUGCCGUGUGUAGAGCACGGGUCCUCGGCGUGAUCUCCGUCCCGCCCACAGGAUCAGGGAGCCGCGGCCGGGAGUCAGGCUUUCUCAGGGGGCGGGGGCCUGAGCUGGGUCUCGGCCACCCCAGGACUGCAGGGAUCUGCGGAGCCGGACAGCUCCGUCACCCUGACCUCAGGACAGGCCCUCACCCUCUGGAAAGGCUCGGUGUCCUGCCCGACUGGGAGGAAAACAGUUGCUUAUUCUCAGGGCACACUGUAACCUCGGAGGCUUCCCUGCCAGGACGCGGGUCCAGACAGGGGCAGAAAGAAGGCCGCCCCCUCCUGAGUGCAGGAGGCGGGCUGCUCCUGGAGCCUCCACCCACCACCAUCCUGGCACCGCCGCGCCGUCCUCGUCCCACGGGGUGGGCGACUGCGCUCCCCCCUCCAGCCCCCAGGCCAGGCUUGCAGGCUGAUGUGCUGCCAGACUCGCGAGUGGGGGUGAUGAUGGACUCCGGGCCGAAAGAGCAGGAAGGCCUCUUGAGCUGUGGUUUUCCUGGCAUCUCGUCAGUGUUCUGCCGAGAGCCUGAGAAAGUCAGAGUUGUCACAGAGCAGCAGCUUAAACCCUUUGCAAAGAACCGUCUUGACUGAGCCCACAGCAUGAGAAAGUUCUCAGGCGGUUCACCCUUGAGAGCAAGGCUGCUGGCCGGGGUAAGGGGUCACCGCCCUGCCUCCGGCUGCGUUGUUAGGCAGCUUCUGGGGAAAUUUACAAAAAUUUUAAAACACUGAAAAUGGCACACGCAACAUGGAACAAAAGACUUGAGUCAGCAGCACAAUUUAACAACUACACGUUAAUUCAGCUUCAUAGUGUCCUAGAGGAAGAACCUUUAUAGGAGGCGCCCAGGGCUUACGGCAGCUCCCCCCUCAUUCCCUGGGUCACCCGUCAACUCACGGCCCAGAUGGGAAUGGAUGGCCCAAGGCCUGUGGCCCACCAAGGUUCUGGAAUGAUCAGCCCUUCUGCCUCUUGGCCCAGUAUAGGUUCUGUUCUGGAUAAGGACGUUUAGGCUCUCUCAGACAGAAACUACAUCUCACGGUUUACAAAUGGCAUUUUUCCAUUUGCUGAUGGAUUUCAACUGUUAAAUUUCAGACUCCUGAGCUUUAACGGGAUGUUUGUGGGAAUGAACAACACUUUAUUGUGAUUCCAGUGGUGACUGUGAAAGUUGUGUGUGUUCGGUGCCAUCUUGGGCGCGUUGGCAGGGCUCCAUCUAACCCCGCAUUCCGUACACAACUCCACAGCUCGUUAGCUCUGGGGAGGUCCUGACGACGUCAUCACGCUCGCUGCCUACGGGGGGAAUCAGUAGAGCCUGCCUCUGGGGGUACCAGGUUUCCAUGGCCAAAAAGCUGGCCUGUGAAUUCUGGCUUGUCCCCCAGAGCAGCGGUGAGCAGGCCUCCGCAGGGAUGUCGUACUCAUCCUUGCCCGACCGAGGACCUGUCGUGGUUGCGUCCAUGCAGCUUGCAAGGCUUCCAUGUCGUCUGCCUCGCCCUCUUCACCAGUACUGUGCGUCUCUGUGUCCUGCCCUUGGGAACAGUUUCAAAUGUUUUCUUAAAAAUCAUUAUUCACAAAUGACUCUCCCUAGUAUUUAUAUGUUCUCAUAACUGGGGUAUGUGAGGCUCAUGUGGUUUCCUACAGAUACAAAUAGCAGUGGAAACAGGGUGUAAAUGUUCCGAGGCGGAACCCUGAGGAACGGCUGUGUCGCUCCCAGACGGAACCUUGCUGUCUGCUGCCACCCCUAGUGUUCUCUCUGCCUCGGCCUCCCACGCCCCCCAAAGGAUUGGAGCCUGAGGCUCCGGUGAGAAAAUGAUAGGGUAGGAAUGGUAAAUAAUGGUGCAAGAAAGUCAAGUUGAUGCUGUUGUCUGCAUUUUGUUUGACAGUUUGAUUUGACAGUUUGAGAGACACUUCAGAGUUUCACUCUGUACCCCGUUGAGACUCUGGGGACCCCGGAGCAGAAUUCUGAACACGGCUCUAGAUAAGGAGGGCCAGAUCUUUGGCAGCAAGCUCGGCGCGGACGGCAGCCGGCCCGGCCUGGAGCCCGCUGCCCCGGAGCCCCCUGCGUCCCCGGAGUCGCCCCCGCGCUCUCCUGCCGCCGCCGCCGCCGCGGAGUGCGAGCGGGCGGGGACCUGGCGCCGCCACCGCGACUGACCGGCCGCCCCCGCCGCCCGCAUCGCUGCCCGCACGGCGCAUCGCAUCGCAUCGCCGGGGUGGAGAGCGCGCGCCUCCAGGGCCCCCGCUUCCCGCGUGCUCCGCCCGAGUCCUGGAGGGGCCUGUGCGCGUCGUCGCCUUCGGGGACGGGUCCUCGGAGCGGCUUCGUUUAAAUUCUCUGUCUUUUCAGUUCAGCGGACAUUUGACGGCGUCACCGGGAGAAUGUGCAACUUUUAUCUGACAUUGGGCGCAUUUUUAUAGAAACACUUUGGAUGCACCAAGAUCUCUCUCUUAUUUAAGUAAACUCAGGAGGGCUCCCUUUUUCUUACAGGCAACUCAGAACUGCGUCUGUCCCUUUGCGGGCGCCCUUCCUCUGCUGACGGGGGUCGGGGGCUGGCUUCCCACGCAAGGCUCGGGGCCCGAGCGGACCCCGUGGUCCCGGCACUCCGCCCAGCCUCGGGGGCUCGUCUAGGACGACACUGGCUCUGGACUUGUGCGCAGACCGCAGGGAAGGCCGUUUCUUCCCUCGAAGUUGUGUUUCCCUGACUCUUCCCACGACCGCCAUUAGAAAAUGCCGAGGAUCUUGUCCCUGGGGCUUUUUAACGAGAGGCGUGGUGCAUGCGGCGUCGUCGCCGGGGCGCUUCCUUCUCCAGGUCCGGCUGCGGGCAGAGCAGGACCAACCAGCGGCCCCAGGAGCCGCCGGAGCCUCCCUUCUCCAUCUGCAGCGGCGCAAACCGCCCGCAGGAAGCGCGGGGCGCGGUCGGGACCGGUCGGAAGGGGCCUGCAGGCAUCCUCUGUUACUAACCUUCUGGAAGGCUGCUGGCAGUGUUUCCUUUUUUCCACCACCCUGCGCUUUUUAAUGAUUGUAUAUAAUCACUGUAUUUGUUUUACCUGCUCAUCUUCUAAACGGGUGGGCCUGUAGUUCAUUCUCAUUGUUAGACUUUUGCCGCCUACAAGUGUCUCCAAUAAACUUUUCCUUCUUGAGAAAUAGCAGUCAGGGUGGGUAGAGGUUCCUGCGUGGUGGUUUUGCGGAGAGUGUGUGGUCAAAGCAACACCUCCCCGGCCCAGGUUCUGGCUGGUGCCAGUGUUUGUUUUUGUCUCGGGGUCACAACGGGGAGGAGAGGUGCUUGGGAAGAACACACGGAGGUGCACCUGGAUGGAAGUGUGUUUGAUUACAGGUGCAGAAACUCACACAACAAAAGCUCAAAAACGAAUAGAGAUUAUUAGUGUACAACAGAGGACUUUGAUGGAACCAGAGACAGGAAGGUCAGGCUUUAUAGGAAAUGGGGAGCCGGGGCAGAUGUUCUCAUCUGUCUGUGUCUGUCUCAGAGAUUGUGCUGUCUCCUGUCUCUGCUUCUUUCAUUGCGUUUUGGCUCUUGGUUUCUGUUGCCUCAUAACGUCUGCUUGCCUGGGCUCUGGCUUAGCCUGUAACUGCUUCUGUCCCCAGCUUCGCGAGGCUGUGCAACUCCACGGCUUGAGACCAUAGCUUUCAGCUCUGGUUCUCUUCGUUCACAUUGCUGUGUGAUGAUUUCUCUCUGGGCUGGUGCUGACCUGUGAUCCAAUCCAGAGGCAGGUGACAGAAUGCAGAUGGGCUUCCUGGGCGCACAGCUCCAGUGGGUGCAGGCUUCAGGAGAGGGUAGUGAUGGGCAGGUCCAGAACAUUCUGCCUGUCGCUCUUCUCACUGGUUAAAGAGCAAGCUUUUUCAUAGCUUCCAAUAGAAAAAUGUUUGUUAAUGGAAGCGAAGAGCUCAUGUAAAAGAAAGAGGAGAAAAAUGAGAAUAAUGAAAAUGGAAGAAUGAUGGAGCGAGGCCUUUAGUGUACUGAUCAGAGCCUGAAACUCGACCCCAUCUCUCAAACUGCAAGGUUCAAAGACAUUUGCUAAAGACUUAAGAAAAUAAAUGGCCAGGGCAGUGCCAGUCACUGGUGACGGGAGGAGGAGAACCUUCUGUCCCGCACAUGCUCCCACGUUCUAUGGCACCCUUGGAUGGCCUGGAGACAGGAGUGUAGCCUGAGCUGGGUGCGGCAACGUGGCCUAGCAGUGGCCAAGCAGUUCUUUAGUAAUUACUCCCACAAACACCUAGAGCGUUAAGUGGUGGUAAAGGAACAAGCCCAGAAGUUCGGUGACAUAACCCGGGUCAUAGAACUGUCAGGAGGCGGAGCCAUGAUGUGGUUUAAGAUUCCACAGACAUCAAACCUGUGCUCUUUUGAAGGCAGCCUGUCGUCCAGGGUAAAUCAAGGCCUGGACAUGAGUGGUCAUCUAGAUGACGAUCCUAAAUAAAGGCUCCGACACCACAAGCAAAUUGUUCAUUCACCCACACAUUUAGCAAAUAUUAUUGAGCUCUUAUUCUGGUCUCAGGAUCCAAAUUAAAUAGAGGUCCUUUAUUGCUGGGUUCCUCCGCUCCCGCACUGAGAGAGAGGCAUGUGCUUGGUUUAUGUUCAUCCCCUUAUUCCAGCAGGGGAGCCAUGUCUACAGAAGUUGACCUUUGAAUAGAGCAAGGGAAGCAGUGACCUGCCGAAGCCAUCGUGGGCCGUCUGCUGGGCCCAGCCAAGAGUCAGCGGGAGUCUGUCUCUCUUUCUUCAAAAAGGUUGCCGUGACGUGAAGGUACAUGGAAUAGACAGAUGGAAGCAUUUGGCAUAACUCCCCCAGAAUAUCUGCAUGAAUAAGAUUGUGAAACGUGAAUCAGGAGAUGGGGGACAGUUCAGAACAGAUAAACCAUAUUGAAAGAAGAGUGCUGGGUAGUGAUGCUGUCUUGGAGGAGGACUUUCAGGGCAGUUUGCCAUCCUGUGGAAAUACAAUGUAAGCCACAUAAUUGAACAUUUUCUGGUACCAUAUUAAAAAAAUCUAAAAAGGAACAGGUGAAAUUAUAGUAUAGUUUAUUUAACCCAAUAUAUCUAAAUACAUCCCUUUAAAGUAUUAUUUCAACAUGUGAUCAAUGUAAAAAAAAAAACAUCGGGAUACUUUACCUUACUUCUUUGUCCUAAGUCUUUGAAACCUGGUGUGCAUUGACUGACACGUACGGCACAUCUCAGGUUGAACCAGGCACAUUUCAAGCGUUUAACAGCCUUGUGUUGUCCCACCUGCCAGGCUGGACGGUGCAGCUAUAAAGAAGGCCCACAGCACUCAGUUUCCUUGUUUUGUUUAGUUUUGCAUAU